rnacentral:lncRNA from 1 species
AUGACAAACACAAAGGGAAAGAGGAGAGGCACCCAAUAUAUGUUCUCUAGACCUUUUAGAAAACAUGGAGUUGUUCCUUUGGCCACAUAUAUGUGAAUCUAUAAGAAAGGUGAUAUCGUAGACAUCAAGGGAAUGGGUACUGUUCAAAAAGGAAUGCCCCUCAAGUGUUACCAUGGCUAAACUGGAAGCGUCUACAGUUUAGCAUGCUGCUGGCAUUGUUGUAAACAAACAAGGGCAAGAUUCUUGCCAAGAGAAUUAGUGUGCGUAUUGAGCACAUUAAGCACUCUAAGAGCCGAGAAAGCUUCAUGAAACGGGUGAAGAAAGAUGAUUAGAAAAAGACAGAAGCAAAAGAGAAAGGUACCUGGGUUCAACUGAAGCGCCAGCCUGCUCCACCCAGAGAAGCACACUUGGUGAGAACCAAUGGGAAGCAGCCUGAGCUGCUGGAACCUAUUCCCUAUGAAUUCAUGGCGUGA